rnacentral:sRNA from 2 species
GAAAUAUUUCCUGAUCGGCUGCUAUUUAAGGUAGCAGGUCAAAGCUUUUUAUAUAAAAUGGUACGCAAUAUAGUAGGCACCUUAGCCUAUGUAGGCAUGGGAAAAAUGCUAGGGUCACAGAUACCUGCUAUAUUAGCAAAUCGUGAUCGAAGACUAGCUGGCAUUACUGCCCCGGCUCA